UUUGUGAUUCUAAUUUUGAUAUUUCAUCUUUUUGUGUAUUUAUUGAAUUUUUACUAACUCCGGCAAAUAUAUUAUAAUGUAGUCUUUUUAUUCUUAUUUUUAAUUCUUUACGUUUUUCAGAGAUAAUUUGUUUUAAUUCUUUAUAUUGUUGUAUUUUAUUCAUUUUAAAUUAUAUUUAUAAUAUCUUGGUGGAUAUCUAAAUCUAAUUUUAUCAUAAUUAGGUGGUAUAUAUCUCAUUCUUCUGGAUUUUAAGUGUGUUAUUAAUUUUGAUUCAAUACUAGAUAUUAAUGUAAUUAAGUAGGCUAGUUUUUGUGGAUUUUCUUUUGUUUUAUUUAAACUUAUAUAUUCUG
rnacentral:lncRNA from 1 species